GUGUCAACAAUUACCCCCCAAUAUGGCUGAAUUAAUAUCAAUUAUUGAUUUUUGCCAUAUUCACUUUGUGUUUCCCAGCAACAUUCGAAAUUUCCAAGAAUUUCAAUCAUUGUUUUCUUCCAUAGCCUGAAAAGGUGCGACGUUUGCAAACCCUUAUAACCCCCAAAUACGCUAUUUCAUUGCACCACUAAAUCACGCCUCAUUUUUUCGCGCCUUUCUCUUGCACUAUUACUGUUCAUCUCCUUACUUCUCUGUUACGUAACUCUGCAGAACUCUAUUUCGUCCCUAAUGGCUGCUUCACAAUCUUAGUCUGGUGACUCCUUUAGUUUCAAAGACUUUUAGAAACUCCUUACUCGGCCAUAUGUAACUCCGAACUUUCUUGCACCGGCCAAUGUCAAACUCAAUGAGUUCUAUCUAGGUCCUUCAUUCAACAAUGCCGAGGCCAUCGAGCAAGCGAAUAUCGGUCAGCUGUUUCCUUGUACUCAUGGCCCUCCGUUUCUAAAAUCUUUGCCGCUAGGGCCACUCCGCGAAAGAGGUAUUCACACUUGACCUAAAUCUGAUGUUGUUUUUCGUAGAUGGCAUACUCGCCUUGUGGACCAUGGUCUUACUAAGGUAAUUUUUGAUAAUGCUAGGAUUUCUGAUUUGUUAGAAAUCUCUCUUCAACCACCUAUUUUUGACCCAGUACUUUUUCCAAUCGCUUUAAGUUUUUGGUCUUCUGAGUAUAAUACCUUUAUUUUUCCUCUUGGUCCCAUGUCCAUUACCUUAAGGGAUAUUAGGGCCCUAGUAAAUCUGCCACCUUUGGGCGAUACCAUUUUCCCUGGUAUCCUGAUUUCUGGUGCCGCUCCAAAAUUUGGUAAAGGCCUUACCGAGUCUUAUUCAAGUCUGCAAACCCUUCAUAACCACUCGAGCGCUGAGCCUUCCCAUACUGAGCGAGUGGCCUUUCUUUUAAUUUAGCUUUGUAAAUACAUUUUGUGUGUGCUAAGCAUAAAGCCCUCCCUGAGCUAUUUACCCAUAGCGCACGAAUUAGCGCGUGGUAGGCCUCUGAAUUUAUGUUCUUUCUUUUUAGCUCCCCUCUAUAGAGGCAUGACUUCUCUUCAAUCCCAAUUGAAGAAUGGUGCAUCUCCCACUGGUAGUGGACCUCUUUGGUUCGCUCAAAUGUGGUUGAGAGUUUAUUUUCCAUCGCUUGGUGCUCCAUCUUUUUUCAGCCCUUCUGCUAGCUGUUACGGGCUAGCCAUUGAGCCCCUGGCUCCUAUAAAUGUGUCCAGAAUGGACAUUUUUUCAUUCUUUUAUACUUUGGAUUCAAUCCUUUCCUUCUUUCCUUUUCCUCCCUUUUUGACUCCAGAUUAUGUGCAACCCCCAUCCACUCUGGAUAAUGCGAACACUUCCUUGUUUAUUUGGAUUCAGUUUUUGACCGGGAGGGAGUUGUUCCAUGAUAUUUUGACUAGGACUAAUGCCAAGGCUGGGGUAGAGAUAUAUACUCCUUAAUUUUUUGCUCGCCAACUUGGUUUUGGCCAAACUUGGCCCGUUCCUCCUUGCUAUUUAAGGAAUUUGAUAGACCGCUUCCACACUAUUAAUAAAACAGAAGCGGAGGCUAUAAAUGCUCGCAACCUUCUUUUGACAAGUAACUUCUCACUAGCCCCCUUCAAUCCUAGCCGUGUCAUCCAUCCUCUUUUUGAACGACUCUAGCCGUCAGUGAAACGUAGAUUGUUCGCGACUGAUGCCAAUCAUGUUUUCCAUUCACUAGACCAGCCAAACAUUUCUUCCACCCCUCCUGUUUUGGUCACUCCUGUGUCCAUUAGAAGUCCCUCUUCUUCUGCUCAUGCUAAACAAUCUGCCCGUCCAUCGACUUCUCUUCCUGCCAAGCCCACUACAGCUAAAAGUGCCCCAAGCUGCAAACGGACAGUUUCAGCGUCUUCCAUUUUGGAAGAUGAUGCUGAUGAUGAUGAUGAUACCCCUCUCAUCGUCAGGAGGAAGGUAAUUAAACGCGGUUUACUCAUAAGCAUAACUUUCUAUACUUGAGGUUUUUCCAUGUGCUGAUAAUUUAUUUGGACCUCUCAGAAAAGUUCAAUCUCUCCUUAGAAGGCUUUGGUAUUGGCAGCUCCUGCUCCAUCAUCCUCUGCUGAGGCUGAUUCGUCCAAACCUGCUGAUGAAGGGGCUAUGCUUAAAGAGAAACCUUCAGUCCCAGAAUUUUCAUCACAACCAAUGGACGAGCCACUUUCUUCCCAGGGCGUUGACCCCCAAACGUCGAAGCAGAAGGUAAUUCGUUUUUUGAUGCUUUACCUUUGCUUGUGCUAUUGGUGUUGACUUGUUGUCUUUUGAGUUCUGCAGAUGUUCUCAUGAGUUUGCCCGUUGCGGCAAGGUCUUCUCGCUUAGACAAGGGGAAGUCCUCACAAAUGGUGGAGCUAGAGGUGGCAGAUUUGGCUGGAGAUAUGCUACCUUCCAAGAUUGCUGAUGAGGUAAUCUUUGCUUUACCUUUACCUUCACUUUGUUUAGUGUAGUGAAAACCUUCAAUAUUGGCGAUUUUCUUUGUAGGAUGCUGAUAAAAUUGUGCGUUCCAUUCAAGACUUGUUGGCUUCCUGGGGACAAGUCAAAACAUCUCGCCCUACUUCAGCCAAUUGUCCUUCUGCUUCUUCAAAGGAUGAUAUGAAGUUCCUCAAGCAGUCGAUAUUUGAGUAUGUGUCCUUCAUGGAUAUGGACAUCGGUAAGGCUAGUACUGCUAGGCAUAAGGAUAAGCUUAGCAUUUGAAUGCAAAAAUGGAGCAAGCGCUGAUACUUCCGUCGCUCAAUCUUUCUGUUGAUUUUAAAGCGACGUUGAAAGUUAUCUAUUCCGUAGUCUUCUCCUUGCUGGCCAAGAAUGUUGAACUGAAGGCCAAAAAUACUCAAUAUCUUCACACCGUAUCUGAAAAAGAGUCUUUGCUUCUGGAGAUCAACAAAGCUGAGGAUGAGUUGAAAGAAAUCUCUUCUGAAAUCAUGAUUGAAGACUCUUUGAUGACUAGUUUGGCUGCUCAGAUGAAGGAGCUUCAAGCCAAGAUGGAUGACUGCAAGGCGAGAAUGGCUGCUAAAAAGCAUAAUGCCUCCCAAGGAAUUGAGCGAGCUAAGUCUUUGGUCGAGUAGUACAAGAAGUUGGAAGUUGAUGAUGAUGUUGUGGCUGAAUUGAACAUCACUUCUUCUCGAUAGAACGAAGACUGGGGGAAGCUUAGGGAAAGAAUUCGCUCGGUAUGGGGCGAAUUGUAAUUAGGACGUAUAUUACCUUAACUUUUCUUUUUGUAAUUUCGCAUUUGACUUUCCCUUUGUAACCUUGUACUGAUAUAACAGGAGCCAUCAUUGUCAAUGAAUAAUUAUUUUAGAUUUUUGUGCAUUUAUUGA
rnacentral:lncRNA from 1 species